rnacentral:lncRNA from 1 species
AUCACAUAAAAUGUUUAAAUUUAAACAGGGUAAAGCAAUUGGAGAAAGAGAAACCCAGCUUUGUCCAGUUAUUUGAUUCAACUUGUUAGUCAAAAAGAGAUUUGGGAACCUGAGUUGACGCCACCAGCAUAAGAUAAAUUCGAUAUGGGGAGCAUCUUUUCUGCACAUUCAUUGUAAAUCACAAAUUGGUCCCGAACCAACCAAUCAAAUCAACAACCUUGGACAUUUCACAACGAUAGAAACGCCCAAAAGAGUUUAGUUUUGCAAAUUUGGGAUACUUUUUAUUCCUUUCACCAAAAUAGAGUGAGCAUCUUUCUUUCCUUUCAUCCGAAAAGCUUCUAUUCAGUUUCAUGUCUGCCUCUCUCCCUCAGUUCAGUCUCUUUUCCUAGUGAUCAUCAUAUUCCACACCUCUAUCAAAGCCCACUUUGAUGUAACAUAAUCCCAAUCUCCAAUUUUAUUCCGUGAGUGUGUGCUUGGGU